rnacentral:rRNA from 1 species
UACGGGGGGGGCAAGCGUUGUUCGGAAUUACUGGGCGUAAAGGGUUUGUAGGUGGUCUGUUAAGUCAGACGUGAAAUCCCUCAGCUUAACUGGGGAACUGCGUCUGAGACUGAUGGACUUGAGGGCAGGAGAGGAACGCGGAAUUCCAGGUGUAGCGGUGAAAUGCGUAGAUAUCUGGAGGAACAUCAGUGGCGAAGGCGGCCCUCUGGUCCAGUACUGACACUCAAGUGCGAAAGCGUGGGGAGCAAACAGG